UUGCUGGAACGCGCCCCAGGCGCACCCAGAAACCCUUUGUGAACUUAUACCUUUUGUUGCCUCGGCGCAUGCUGGCCUCUAGUAGGCCCCUCACCCCGGUGAGGAGAAGGCACGCCGGCGGCCAAGUUAACUCUUGUUUUUACACUGAAACUCUGAGAAAAAACACAAAUGAAUCAAAACUUUCAACAACGGAUCUCUUGGUUCUGGCAUCGAUGAAGAACGCAGCGAAAUGCGAUAAGUAAUGUGAAUUGCAGAAUUCAGUGAAUCAUCGAAUCUUUGAACGCACAUUGCGCCCUCUGGUAUUCCGGAGGGCAUGCCUGUUCGAGCGUCAUUUCAACCCUCAAGCAUUGCUUGGUGUUGGGGCACUGCUUCUAACGAAGCAGGCCCUGAAAUCUAGUGGCGAGCUCGCCAGGACCCCGAGCGUAGUAGUUAAACCCUCGCUCUGGAAGGCCCUGGCGGUGCCCUGCCGUUAAACCCCCAACUUUUGAAAAUU
rnacentral:rRNA from 1 species